GAUGAACGCUGGCGGCGUGCCUAAUACAUGCAAGUCGAGCGAACAGACGAGGAGCUUGCUCCUCUGACGUUAGCGGCGGACGGGUGAGUAACACGUGGAUAACCUACCUAUAAGACUGGGAUAACUUCGGGAAACCGGAGCUAAUACCGGAUAAUAUAUUUAACCGCAUGGUUCAAUAGUGAAAGACGGUUUUGCUGUCACUUAUAGAUGGAUCCGCGCCGCAUUAGCUAGUUGGUAAGGUAACGGCUUACCAAGGCAACGACGCGUAGCCGACCUGAGAGGGUGAUCGGCCACACUGGAACUGAGACACGGUCCAGACUCCUACGGGAGGCAGCAGUAGGGAAUCUUCCGCAAUGGGCGAAAGCCUGACGGAGCAACGCCGCGUGAGUGAUGAAGGUCUUCGGAUCGUAAAACUCUGUUAUUAGGGAAGAACAAAUGUGUAAGUAACUAUGCACGUCUUGACGGUACCUAAUCAGAAAGCCACGGCUAACUACGUG
rnacentral:rRNA from 1 species